rnacentral:tRNA from 1 species
UAGGUUGAAGCCAAAGGUUUAGGCGCUUAGCUGUUAACUAAGAACUAGUGGGAUCAACACCCUCCAAUCUAG